rnacentral:rRNA from 1 species
AUUGAACGCUGGCGGCAGGCCUAACACAUGCACGUCGAACGAGUGGCGGACGGGUGAGUAAUGUCUGGGAAACUGCCUGAUGGAGGGGGAUAACUACUGGAAACGGUAGCUAAUCCCGCAUACCAUCAGAUGUGCCCAUAUGGGAUUAGCUUGUUGGUGGGGUCACGGCUCACCAAGGCGACGAGCCAUAGCUGGUCUGAGAGGAUGACCAGCAACAGUGGAACUGAGACACGUUCCAGAUUCCUACGGGAGGCAGCAGUGGGGAAUAGUGCACAAUGGGCGCAAGCCGGAUGCAGCCAUGCCGGUUGAAUGAAGAAGGCCUUCGGGUUGUAAAGUACUUUCAGCGGGGAGGCGUUACCCGCAGAAGAAGCACCGGCUAACUCCGUGCCAGCCGCCGCGGUAAUAC